GGAGACAGCCCCGUGGGGCCAGCCAGCGCUGGGCCAGGAGCGGCCACCUGGUUCCUGCGUGCUACGGCCCUGUGGGCCUGGGAGCUGCCUCUGAGGAACACGCCGCAGGGCCAGGCAUGUGAGGUCUCUGCGGGUCAUGGAGAACCUCCCUGCCGUGACCACUGAGGAGCCGGCCCCCAUGGGGAGGGGUCCUGUGGGACCCUCAGGAGGUGGCAGCAGCCGGGACCAGGUCCGGACUGUGGCCAUGAGGCCCUCUGUGAGCUGGGAGAAAGCGGGGCCCAAGGAGGCCAAGGCACCGGUGAGAGGCGGUGAGUUCAUUCCACCCUCACCACCCGCCCUCCAUCCCACCCACUUCUCCACCCCACCUGCCCCGUCCAUCCAUCCCUCACCACCCUGCCUGCCUCCGGGCCUCUUGGGGCUGGGGCUGGGGUCUGCUCUCCAUCACUUCUCGUUUCCUUCCCCCGCGUGUGUUUAACAGGAGCCACUGUGCCCGCUGAGUCACUUGAGAGGCCAGGGCCCAGCUCGUGUUUUUCCAGGGACGCGUCAGUGAUAAC
rnacentral:sRNA from 1 species